CAUGCCUGAAUCUGGAGUCCCUAUUUCUGGCUGUUCAGAUUGUUCCAAAGUGGGUGUGUCGCCCAUUAGAGAAAGGGAGGAAGAGUGGAAAUAGACCGCCAGGAGGAAACGCAAGGCAUGUGAUUGGUGCACCCUGGAGUUGUCCUCACCGCAGCCCUGGAUCGGACCACCCACGGGAGUGAGCAGAAACUGGAAUACGGUCAGCCUGGUGGUCCCCAAAGCCGCUCCCUCCCUCCCAGUCACAGUGCUCACACUGCCACUGUUAACUGGCAGGACACUGGAUCCAGAGGACAGCAAUGAGACAUCCAGGACCUGAGUCUGGGCCCAAGGACAUCUGAAGGAGACCAGCCCCUGCCCCAUUAAGUGCGUUUCUCCCAGAUCCCAGGCAGGCUCCUCCUUGGAGGCAGUUGGGUUUUGCACUCCCCCAUCGCUGAGUUUUUGUUUCAUCCGUCAAGGUCCCAUCUUCUGAAUUUGCUGACAUCUCUCACCUGGAUUGUCUUUGCCUGGCUUGUCUUCUGCUGACUGCUCAUCCACUCCCCAACCUCAUGGGGCUGGGGUUCUCAGAGCACAUCCAUGCACCGUCUUGUUUGUCUACACCUUUUCCUGAGGUGAGCCCAGCCAUUCCCAAGCUGUUAAUGUCUCCAUUCACAUUGGACACAGGCUGAGUCAGUCAGUUUCUCCCUCCAAGAAUUUGGACUAUUGACCUGAGAGGCAAAGACUAGGGCUCCUUGGAAGUGAGCAUGCUUUUAGCAACAUUCUAGAACAAGCAGUGAUACUGGAAAUACUGUCUCAGGCCAGAGAAGGUUGGUAAAUUGUUGGUUCUCUAUCUUCAACAAGGUAAGCACAGAAAUUGAGUGAUCAUUUAGAAAUUUA
rnacentral:lncRNA from 1 species